ACCCAAUAAAGUUAAAUCUUGGGCUACGCUGUAGAAAGCUUUAGCCCGGACAAAAAUAAACCACGAAGGUGACUUUAGACGAUCCGACCACACGACAGCUAAGACACAAACUGGGAUUAGAUACCCCACUAUGCUUAGCCUUAAACCUAAGCAGCUAAAUAACAAUGCUACUCGCCAGAGUACUACUAGCAACAGCUUAAAACUCAAAGGACUUGGCGGUGCUUUAUAUCCCUCUAGAGGAGCCUGUUCUGUAAUCGAUAAACCCCGAUAAACCUCACCAACUCUUGCUAAUACAGCCUAUAUACCGCCAUCUUCAGCAAACCCUAAAAAGGAAAUAAAGUAAGCAAAAUCAUAAAACAUAAAAACGUUAGGUCAAGGUGUAGCCCAUGAGUUGGAAAGAAAUGGGCUACAUUUUCUAGCAUAGAACAUCGACGAAAAUUUCCGUGAAACCGGAAAUAGAAGGAGGAUUUAGUAGUAAAUUAAGAACAGAGAGCUUAAUUGAAUUAGGCCAUGAAGCACGCACACACCGCCCGUCACCCUCCUCAAGUAUAAAGAUACAAUGCCCAAUCCUAUUAAUAAAUGUACACACACAUGAGAGGAGAUAAGUCGUAACAAGGUAAGCGUACUGGAAGGUGCGCUUGGACAAAUCAAAGUGUAGCUUAUGCAAAGCACCUGGCCUACACCCAGAAGAUUCCAUACAACAAUGGCCACUUUGAACAAAUGCUAGCCCAUGCAAAUAUAAACUCAACUAAUAAUACAAAAUAAAAUAAAACAUUUACCCUAACUAAAGUAUAGGAGAUAGAAAUUUUGACUUGGCGCUAUAGAA
rnacentral:rRNA from 1 species